rnacentral:rRNA from 1 species
AGUCGAACGGACUCUUCGGAGUUAGUGGCGGACGGGUGAGUAACGCGUGAGAAUCUGCCUUCAGGUCUGGGACAACAGAAGGAAACUUCUGCUAAUCCCGGAUGAGCCUUAGGGUAAAAGAUAAAUUGCCUGGAGAUGAGCUCGCGUCUGAUUAGCUAGUUGGUGUGGUAAAAGCAUACCAAGGCAACGAUCAGUAGCUGGUCUGAGAGGAUGAGCAGCCACACUGGGACUGAGACACGGCCCAGACUCCUACGGGAGGCAGCAGUGGGGAAUUUUCCGCAAUGGGCGAAAGCCUGACGGAGCAAGACCGCGUGGGGGAGGAAGGCUCUAGGGUUGUAAACCCCUUUUCUUUGGGAAGAAGAUCUGACGGUACCAAAGGAAUCAGCCUCGGCUAACUCCGUGCCAGCAGCCGCGGUAAUACGGAGGAGGCAAGCGUUAUCCGGAAUGAUUGGGCGUAAAGCGUCCGUAGAUGGCCAUGUAAGUCUGCUGUCAAAACCCAGGGCUCAACUCUGGUCAGGCAGUGGAAACUACAAAGCUAGAGUUUGGUAGGGGCAAAGGGGAUUCCCGGUGUAGCGGUGAAAUGCGUAGAUAUCGGGAAGAACAUCGGUGGCGAAAGCGCUUUGCUAGACCAAAACUGACAUUGAGGGACGAAAGCUAGGGGAGCGAAUGGGAUUAGAUACCCCAGUAGUCCUAGCCGUAAACGAUGGAUACUAGGUGUUGCCUGUAUCGACCCAAGCAGUGCCGUAGCUAACGC